rnacentral:rRNA from 1 species
GAUGAACGCUGGCGGCGUGCUUAACACAUGCAAGUCGAACGGUGAAGGUGGGAGCUUGCUCCUGCUGGAUCAGUGGCGAACGGGUGAGUAACACGUGAGUAACCUGCCCCGGACUCUGGGAUAAGCGUUGGAAACGACGUCUAAUACCGGAUACGAGUCGAGAAGGCAUCUUCAUCGUCUGGAAAGAUUUUUUGGUCUGGGAUGGACUCGCGGCCUAUCAGGUUGUUGGUGAAGUAAUGGCUCACCAAGCCUACGACGGAUAGCCGGCCUGAGAGGGUGACCGGCCACGUGGGGACUGAGAAGCGGCCCAGACGCCGCCGGGGGGCAGCAGUGGGGAAUAUUGCACCAUGGGCGAAAGCCUGAUGCAGCAACGCCGCGUGAGGGACGACGGCCUUCGGGUUGUAAACCUCUUUUAGUAGGGAAGAAGCGAAAGUGACGGUACCUGCAGAAAAAGCACCGGCUAACUACGUGCCAGCCGCCGCCGUAA